rnacentral:tRNA from 1 species
CCAUGGCUCAAUAGUAGAGCUUCUGCGUGGCAUGCAGAAGGUCCCAGUUUCAAUCUCCAGCAUCUCCUGGUGAAAGGA